rnacentral:rRNA from 1 species
AGAGUUUGAUCAUGGCUCAGGACGAACGCUGGCGGCGUGCUUAACACAUGCAAGUCGAGCGGAAAGGCUCCUUCGGGGGUACUCGAGCGGCGAACGGGUGAGUAACACGUGAGUAAUCUGCCCUCCACUCUGGGAUAACGUUCAGAAAUGGGUGCUAAUACCGGAUGUACACAGGCUGACGCAUGUUGGUGUGUGGAAAGGGUUUUCUGGUGGGGGAUGUGCUCGCGGCCUAUCAGCUUGUUGGUGGGGUAAUGGCCUACCAAGGCUUUGACGGGUAGCCGGCCUGAGAGGGUGACCGGCCACACUGGGACUGAGACACGGCCCAGACUCCUACGGGAGGCAGCAGUGGGGAAUAUUGGACAAUGGGCGGAAGCCUGAUCCAGCAACGCCGCGUGAGGGAUGACGGCCUUCGGGUUGUAAACCUCUUUCACCAUUGACGAAGCUGCAUCUUUUUGGGUGUGGUGACGGUAGGUGGGGAAGAAGCACCGGCCAACUACGUGCCAGCAGCCGCGGUA